CUACCUGCCGCUUGAAUGCACUGAGAGCAGUGCUAUGUUUUUCAACCGCAAUAUCAACAACUGUUCAAUAUCUUCUUAUUUUUUACAAAGGACACACUAGGUAGACCACCAGCUCAGGAGAUUCCCCUGGUGGAGCACUGUCAAUACAAGUAACUGUUCAACUUCCGGGGCUUGGCGGCCAGCUUCCGCCUCAAGCACCUGUUCCUGUGUGGCUCUCUGGUCUUCCUUGUAGGGAGGGAGUGGAUGGAGUUCUUCUAUCCCCAGCUGCUACCCUGGGUACACUACAUCCCUGUCAAACAGGACCUCUCUGACCUCAGUGUGUGACCGAAGCCCUGUAUGCUGCUCAGGAGUUGAUACUUACACCUUCCAUUUGCUUUCCAGUGGUCCAUUCAACUACAAACACAACCAAAACACUCCUCACCUCAAGAGUGUUGCCUCUGUUUAAGAAGAACAAUACACUACCAUUGCUAUAUACCGUAGAGAUACGAUAAAGCUUGAAACACUACAUAUUAAGCAGUAAAUAACUACACUCAACACCAAGUGCCAAUAGAACGUGACUCAUUAAUGUAGAAUGACAUGUCAAACCCACUGUCACUACACUACUUUACUUGGACCUGCCUUGGAAAAGAUGAGUAUAAGCCACAAUGGUACUGACAUUUUGAAUAUGUUCUAGUAUUCCCAUUGUAGAAUGUAUGUGUUAGUUCUCUGAUUCUACAGCUGUGGUAUACAUGUAUGUAUGGUACUUUGCACUGUGUAUUGUCUUGACCAAAGAGUAAGCGGUACAAUGCCAAAAAACUAUGUUCAGCUUGUGGUCAAAACGUAUGACGUGAUCUUCACCUGCAAAAUCAGUGGAAUGGUUUUGGUUUGUCUGUUGGCCUUUAAUUAACAGUAAUGUUUGGCAUGAAACACAUUGACAAUGUUAUGAUAUGAUGCAAUAUUAUUUUAUAUCGAAUGUAUCAUUUUUACCUCUAAUAAACCAUUCAAAU